ACUUUUAACGAGGACGAGCACAUCCAGGGGCGUCAAGGGGGUUACGACCCGGCGACAUACCAGUGAGUGGGCAUUGCUUUCUAUAUAUAUACCUAUAUACUCGAUUUCCCCAGAAAUCAAAUUUAAAUGAAAAAUAUAUUGAAAUGAAAUGAAAUAUGAUGUGAUUGCCAUGCAUAGAAUGUUAUGGAUAUUAUGAACUGUCGUAUGAUGCAUAUAUGUAUGAUGGUGCUGUGGACGCACAGGUAAGUAUUUAAUUACUGUUAUGUUGAGGAUGAUGAUAUAUUGAGCUCAUAUCCUGCACCAUGGUUUAGUGCUUAUAGUAUUCACCGCAUCGCACGCUCGCCUUGGAUCCAAGUAGAUGCUGGUCGUACAGUCCACGCGGAGUGGGUACGACGGGCCAGUCGUAGAAUGUUAGUGAGAUUAUGACUGGUGGGUGACCUUAGGUUAUUGUAUACAGAUGAUUGAUGAGAGAAGCACUUGAGCGAAUAUUACCAUGAGUCGUUCAGACUGCAUUAGGUGGUUCCGACUUAUGUGCAGAAGGCCGGACAGGUCACGCGGAGUGACUCCGGCAGAGAGUGAGAUUGAUAGAUGUUGAGCUCUAGGUUCAAUCGUUCAGGACUAUUAGAGGGCCUCCGAUUGAUUAUUUCUUUUACCUGAUUUAUAUUAUGUCAAUGCAUUCAUACUAAACUGCUGAAUUUGGCAUGGUACAUUCUUUAUUGAAUCUGCUAUAAGAUUGUUGAUCGAGACAGUUGAGAUAUAUAUGCUAUAUACUAUUUUUCUGGGAAAGUAUACAGGUUUUCCAAAAAGGGGUUAUAAAUGUGGAUUUAUGAAAUGUUUUGGAAAAGCUUUAUUUUUCGCCCACUCACGUUUUCUGUUUUUCGCCCCUCCAGGUUCUAGUUGAUAGUUGAGGCGUUGGUGGCCUACGAGGACUGCUUCGGCGUUCUGACAGACUAAAUAAAUGUAGGAUUCACCCGAGGGUGUUGUAAAAUAGUUAUGGUCCUACUUGACUGCACCUAGACGCUUAUGCUCUGUUUAUGUGUGUUUAGUACACUCUUAUGCACAUAGAAUGCUAGGUUGUAAAUAACUGCAAUUAGUGGUUUUCGUUGACUCGUAUUUUAUUAUUAAAUCGUUUCCGCUUGCGUUAUGGUUACGUCACACUCACGUGACGGCCAGCACGUUCUAGUCUUCGGGUUAGGGUGUGUCAGUUUGGUAUCAGAGCAUAGGUUGCAGUCCUGUAUAACUAGUGAUUUUACUUAUUAAUUUUUGGAUGUUUUCUGUCAGAAUUAUGCCGCCUCGUAGAGAUCCUCGCCGUGCUGCUGAGCCUAAUUUCCCCGAUAUAACUCAGCUAGGGGCAUCAAUGGCUCAAGCUUUUCAGGCUAAUAUCCGUCCUCCUCAGAGAACACCUGUAGAGACGAUGUAUAAUCUGAAAUUGGAAACCUUUGAGGGAAAUGAAGGUUAUGAAGGGGCAGAAAAGUGGUUGGAUCGGAUUGAGCAGACCUUUCAAGUGAUGCAAAGUCAAGGAAACCUGCCAGCUAAUAGAUGGGUGGAGACCACCACCUGGUUUUUGGGCCGUGAGCCAGCGGCGUGGUGGAUAAAUCAGUCGAGGCACAUGGCACCUGAAAGGACAGCCGAAUGGGAGGUAUUUAAGGAAAAUUUUAUGAAGAGAUUUGUUCCUCCGGAAUAUAUAGAUCGCAAGAAACAGGAAUUCACCAGUCUGAAGCAGAGAAAUAUGUCCGCACAUGAGUACUACAGGAAGUUUACUGAUUUAUCCCGUUAUGAUUCUGAUUUAGCGGGUAAUCAAGCAGAAAUGCUUCGUCGUUUCAAGUUAGGAUCUAAGAAGAAGUACAGAACGUUUGCCAAUGCACUUCCCUGUGCCGAUUAUCAUGAGUAUUUUGAGAUUCUGGUCCGGAUGGAAGACUCUGAUAAUCUUCCGGACAGUGAGGAUGAAGAGGAUAAGGGUAAUGGUCAGAAGAAAAAUGAGAAAGGUAAAGGUGUUUCCAUUCCAGGACCUCGUCAGAUGCAGAAUUUUAAGAAGAGUGGAAUGAGUUCUAGUUCUUCCAGUGGUGGAUUUAGUGCCACAGGUCCGAGGAGAGGAGGUGGUAGGUUUGGUAAUGGACCUAGAUUUUCUGGUCAGAGAGGCUUUGGUGGUACUGGUAGUUCGGGUUCUCCGUUAUGUCGCCGUUGUAAUUUCCGACAUUAUGGGGAAUGUAGGAGAAUCAGUGGUGCAUGCUUUACAUGUGGUCAGACAGGACAUAGAGCUAUGAAUUGUCCCCAGAAUCAGCAGAGGCCCCAGCAGCCUGUUAGGCCAACACCAGCACCGACUCAACAGAACUUUAAUUCAGGCAGUUAUGGCCAGGUUGGUCGUGGUGGUGCUUAUCAUUAUCAGGGUGAUGCUACUCCAUAUGCUCCAGGACAGUAUCACUAUUCCCAGGAUCCUUAUUCUCAGAGUGGAUAUUCUCAGGAUCAGGGAGGUUAUACUUCAUAUCCGUCUAUGCCAGCUAGCGGAUCUCAGUGGUAUCAGGGGGGUCAGCCCCAACAGAGCGGAGUUGCUGCUAGCAGUGCAGGGUCGUUUAGGCCGCCUGCCCAGACAGGUCAAGGAAGUAUUCAUCAGGGACGAGGUAAUCAGAGUGGCAGAUGUCGUGGAGGACGACAGCCAGCUCAGGGACGUGUUAACCACAUAUCGCUGCAAGAUGCUCAGAACCAUCCAGACUUGAUUAUGGGUACGUUGAAUGUUCUUGGUCAUUUUGCUAGAGUCUUGAUUGAUUGUGGUGCUACACACUCUGUGAUUUCUCAUACAUUUGCUCAAAUGACACAACCUCAUCCUUCACCUCUAGGGUUUGAUUUAGAGUUUGCUAUGCCUAGAGGGGAUAAAUGUUAUGUUGAUAGUUUUUACUCUGGGUGUCCAGUGAUGGUAGAUAAUGUCAUUAUGCCUGCUAAUCUUAUCCCGUUAGACAUCGUGGAUUUUGAUGUGAUUUUAGGGGCGGAUUGGUUGCAUUAUAAUCGCGCCCAUAUAGAUUGUUACGGGAAAUCAGUUACUUUUCUUCGUCCUGGACUACCUGAGGUUACAUUUGUGGGUGAAAGAAAUGGGGUGAGGCAUGGUGUUAUUUCAGCCAUAAGGGCAAAGAAGUUGUUAUCCAAGGGUUGUCAGGGAUACUUGGCACAUGUGGUGUUAAAUGAUGUUGAUUCCGGUAGUGUGGAGGAAGUCGGAGUAGUCAGACACUAUCCUGAUGUAUUUCCAGAUGAUUUACCUGGGUUGCCUCCAGAUAGAGAUGUGGAAUUUUCGAUUGAUUUACUUCCAGGUACGAACCCUAUCUCUUUGACUCCUUAUAGAAUGGCACCAUCGGAAUUAAGAGAGUUGAAAAUUCAAUUGCAAGAGUUAAUUGAUAAAGGUUUCAUUCAGCCUAGUUCUUCACCGUGGGGAGCUCCGGUGUUGUUUGUAAGAAAGAAAGAUGGAACUUUGAGAUUGUGCAUUGAUUACAGGCAAUUGAAUCGGGUGACGAUUAAAAACCGUUAUCCCUUGCCUCGUAUAGAUGAUUUGUUUGAUCAGCUCAAAGGUGCCUGUGUGUUUUCUAAGAUCGAUUUGAGGUCUGGGUAUUAUCAAUUAAAGAUUAAAGAUGAGGAUGUUCAUAAAACAGCUUUCAGGACUCGUUAUGGGCAUUAUGAGUUUUUGGUGAUGCCAUUUGGAUUAACGAACGCUCCUGCAGCUUUCAUGAGAUUGAUGAAUGAAGUAUUCCAGGAAUAUCUUGACAAGUUUGUUAUUGUUUUUAUUGAUGACAUCCUGGUAUAUUCUAAGUCGAAAUCAGACCAUAUUCGACAUCUUAACUUGGUGUUAAGGAAAUUGAGGGAACACCGAUUAUAUGCCAAAUUUAGUAAAUGUGAAUUUUGGCUGGAUCAAGUGGCAUUUUUGGGACAUGUGGUAUCAGCUCAGGGAAUUCAAGUGGAUCCUCAAAAGAUAGCAGCAGUGGAAAAUUGGGAACAACCUCGAACGGUCACUGAGGUGCGGAGUUUUCUUGGUUUGGCAGGUUAUUAUAGACGGUUUGUUCAAGACUUUUCUAUGAUUGCCUUGCCAUUAACGAAGUUAACCAGGAAGGAUGUUAAGUUUGAAUGGGAUGAAAGUUGUGAGCAAAGUUUCCAGCAGUUGAAGUAUUGCCUUACUCAUGCACCUGUGUUAGUACUUCCUGAUGAUGAUGGUAACUUCGAGAUCUAUAGUGAUGCUUCUUUGAAUGGUUUGGGUUGUGUUUUGAUGCAGCAUAGUAGAGUGAUUGCCUAUGCUUCUAGGCAGUUGAAGACUCAUGAAAGAAACUAUCCGACUCACGAUCUUGAGUUAGCAGCUAUUGUGUUUGCUUUGAAGAUCUGGAGACAUUAUCUCUAUGGCGAGAAAUGUAAGAUCUUUACAGAUCAUAAAAGCCUUAAGUACCUUUUCACUUAGCAUGAUCUUAAUCUUCGUCAGAGAAGAUGGUUGGAAUUGUUAAGUGAUUAUGAUUGCACGAUUGAGUACCAUCCGGGUCGUGCAAAUGUGGUAGCUGAUGCUCUGAGUAGAAAACCUCAAGGGCGACUUAAUGCUUUGUAUGCCAGUCGUGUUUCUCUUCUUGCAGAGUUGAGAUCUACUGGAGUAGAGUUAGAAUUGGAAGAGCAAAGUGAAGCUUUUCUUGCCAAUUUUCAAGUCAAGCCAAUUUUAAUUGAUCGGGUGCUUACAGCUCAAUCGUUGGAUGAAGAAAUUCAAGAAUUGAUCAGUUUAAGAAAGGAAAGCUAAGCCCCAGGUACAUUGGACCUUAUGAGAUCACUGAGAGGAUUGGUGAAGUUGCUUACAGGUUGGAGCUACCUCCAGAGUUGUCUAAGGUACAUAAUGUGUUCCAUGUCUCGAUGCUUCGACAUUAUGUUUCAGAUCCUUCACAUGUGAUUCCUCCUCAACCAUUGGAAAUUAAUCCGGACUUGACGUACGAUGAGGAACCAGUGACUAUACUGGAUUGGAAAGAUAAAACUUUGAGGAAUAAGACCGUGAACUUGGUAAAAGUAUUGUGGAGAAACCAUUCAGCGGAAGAAGCUACAUGGGAGACAGAAGAACGGAUGAGAGAUAUGUAUCCGAGGCUAUUUUAUGAGUAUUGAGGGUUUGGUUGGUGACUGGAAUUUCGGGGACGAAAUUCUAUAAGGAGGGGAGAUUGUCACAGCCCGUCCCAGAAUUACUUAAUACCGAGGACGUGAAAUUACAGAAACGCCCUUAAACGGGAUUAAGGUGCGUAAUUUUGACAUUUGUUUUACUUUAAGAUCCUAAACUAGGGUUAGAAUUAUAUAUUUGUAUGUGUUAAUAUUAUAUGGGUUAAGGUAGGGCCUUAUACCCUAAAUCCCUCCCCAAAACCCGUUUUGUUGUCUCUCUCUCAUCUCCCUAGUCACUCUCUCUCUCUUAUUCUUCAGAAAACACUCUCUCACUCUCUCUCUUACUCUCAUUCUCUCUCAAACUCUCGGACAAACACCCAAGACCUUGAAAACUUCACAAGUUAAGGUUGAGGAAGGUAGCAUCGUGUUCGUAAGGACCAUACGAACACAUUGAUAUUGUUUUCAGGUAAGAUUUCCCACGAUUCCAUGUAGAAAACUUAAGCUCCGAGAUUGCUACUGUUCAUGAACUUAAAUUUGGUUGUGUUUUAGGUUAAACAAAGAUCACCACGAGUCUUAGGAAGUCCCAAGGAGGCUCGGAGUGCCUCAUUUGAACAAAAUGGACGUCGGGAUCGUCGGGUUCGAGUUUGGCCGAAAUUGAGGAAUUUUGGAAGGUAUGAUCUCGUAGUUUUUAGGCCUUAAAACCCUUCCAACGUGAUAAUGCUUCAUUUUGGUGUAAAAUUCGAAGAAAUUGGACGAAAAACGAAGGAGAAUAGUGGAUUUGAAAAUUUUCCAGAAACCGGCGACCGGCGACUCGCCGGAGAAGACAGGGAAUCUUCCGUCAAGUUUGACGGAAUAUUCCGACGCCGUUAGUUAACUUUAACGGAAACCGUUAGUUUUUAACGGAAUAUUCCGGGAAUAUUCCUAACGCCGUUCACUGUACCGUCAGUGUGCCUGGCACGUGGCUGCGCGUGGGCCGCGCGUAGGUCCGUGCCACGUCAGGCGCGUGGGGGCGCGUGGAGCAUCCAAAAAUUAUUUUAAAAAUAUGGGGAUGAUCCUGAGGUUGUGUAGGUCACUGUGGUAUAUUCAUAUACCCAAUUUGAGCAUCGUAUGAAGAAUUUAUUACCUAGUUGGUUUAGGUGCGUUUAAUGUGCGUUAAAUGAUUGUUUUAAGUUAUUUCACUUCUAGGUGGAACUUUUAACGAGGACGAGCACAUCCAGGGCGUCAAGGGGGUUACGACCCGGCGACAUACCAGUGAGUGGGCAUUGCUUUCUAUAUAUAUACUUAUAUACUCGAUUUCCCCAGAAAUCAAAUUUAAAUGAAAAAUAUAUUGAAAUGAAAUGAAAUAUGAUGUGAUUGCCAUGCAUAGAAUGUUAUGGAUAUUAUGAACUGUCGUAUGAUGCAUAUAUGUAUGAUGGUGCUGUGGACGCACAGGUAAGUAUUUAAUUACUGUUAUGUUGAGGAUGAUGAUAUAUUGAGCUCAUAUCCUGCACCAUGGUUUAGUGCUUAUAGUAUUCACCGCAUCGCAACGCUCGCCUUGGAUCCAAGUAGAUGCUGGUCGUACAGUCCACGCGGAGUGGGUACGACGGGCCAGUCGUAGAAUGUUUAGUGAGAUUAUGACUGGUGGGUGACCUUAG
rnacentral:lncRNA from 1 species